rnacentral:lncRNA from 14 species
CGCCGAGCCCGCCAAGGUUGCGGGAAAGCAAGCGAGGUGCGGCGGUGGUGCGGGCUCACUUACUCUAUGAAGAAACUGGCGCCCUCCUCCGUGAAGCCCUCCUCCCAGCCGCGCGGCAAGUCUGCGGGAAGGCGAGAAAAGUUGGUCAAACUUGCACAGCCGUGGCGCCCUCCCGCACCCUCUACCGACCGGGCGCUUACCUGAGCGGAUCAUGUGACCGGAGUUGACCGGUUCUCCCGUACGCGGGUGCAGCCAGGUCGUGCAGCGGAGCUGGUCACUACGGGAGAGGUGCACCUGUUAGCGCCGCCGCCCCACACGCCCGCCCGCGGACCCAGCCCCAGCACACGACCCCGCCCGGGUGCCGCCGCCUCUCACGCACUUGAUGAAGAAGACGCGGCCGUCCCGACAGACGCCGUAGGACCAGUGCUCAGUUGGACAAGAGAAGGAGCCUUGAUCUGCCCCCAAAAUACCAGGACCUGGGCACCCGAACAAUUCUACCUCAUCCUUUCAGCAACAUCUCAAUGGAAGAAUGGGAAACACUCCUCACUCUGCAAGUGGGUGGAGCCGGAGCCGGAGCCGGAAGCUAGGUGCUGGGCAAGGGUCAGGCCAGCCUUGCAGAGACACAGCUGCAGGUCUGAGGAGGCUCACUUGAGGGUGCAGCUGUCUGCACUGGGCACUAGAAUUAGAGAUCAGGAGUAGGAUGGACCCUGAAGGGGGCGCAGUGGAGCUCUGUCAGUGUUUCUUGACCUGUGGGUCUCCACCCCUCGGAGUAGCAUCUCAGAUUACGUUUCAUAACAAUAGCAGUGAAAUAAUUUUGUCGUUGAGGGUCACCACAACAUGACCGCUGCUCCAGAGGAACCUAUUAGGGGUGCAGGUGAACCUGUGGGAGGGGUGUGGAGUGCUAGGAAGACCAUGAAGCGAUCCUUCCUCUGAAGCAGUCAUUAGGGAGAGAGGUGCUGUGACUGGGAAUGUGGAGCCUUCAGCCUCUGAUCCAGUUCUUGACCAAAUGAACACAGGGAGAUAGCUUCUCUCUUUUUGUUGACAUUUAAAAAAAAUUGACAUUGUUUUAUUUUCCCUGUCAGGCAUGGGCUGUGUGUGUGGUGUGGUGGGCUCAGUACAGGGAUGGAUGGUGGAGGGGGUGGAGGAGAUGAUGACUUGGUUGGGAAGUCUGGAGGAAGGACUCAUGGCACACUAUAGCUAAGCUACCAGUAAGGUUGAGAAACUCUUGGAAAUCUAGCUGUCCAUCGCUGUUGAGGUCCUGCGUCUUCAUCAUGCAUUCAAGGACACCAGGGUCCUUCUGUUUCUUCCUGAAGGCGGCCAGCUCUGUGUUCAUGAAAGAAAGGAACUCAGUUUUGGAGAAUUGACAGCUAUUCCCAUCCUUCCCACUGUACUUCUGGAAAACAGCAAUCAGGGACUCCAUGCAUCUCUCAUGGAGGCUGGGACAGGAGUGGCCAGCAUCUCUUAUUAAACACUCAUUUGAAAACAAUAUAUUAAAUGGACAAGAAUAUGAAAACACAGUUAAUAGAAAUGAAACACAAGUGGCUUUUAAGUAAAUGGGAAGAUAAUUGACCAUUGCAUAACAUCAAGUAUACAAAUGAAAAUUACAGUGGGAUUCUAUUUUGUAGAUGUCAGAUUAGAAGAGAAAACCAUUCUUGUUCAUUGUUGCUGGGACUAAAAAAUGAUUCUGCCUUCUUGUGAUGGUUUGUAUAUGCUUGACCCAGGCAGUGACACUAUUAGGAGGUGUGGCCCUCUUGGAGUGGGUGUGGCCUUGUUGGAGUGGGUGUGUCAUUGUAGGUGUGGGCUUUAAGAUGCUGAUCCUAGCUGCCUGGAAGCCAGUCUUCUAGCAUCCUUCAUAUAAAGAUAUAGAACUCUCAGCUCCUCCUGAACCUUGCCUGCCUGGACACUGCCAUGUUACCACCAUGAUGAUAAUGAACUGAACAUCUGCACCUGUAAGCCAGCCCCAAAUAAAUGUUGUCCUUUAUAAGAGUUGCCUUGGUCAUGGUGUCUGUUCACCGCAGUAGAACCUUAAGACAUUCCUCAAGGGCAGCUUGGCCGCAGCUGUUACACACUGCUUUGACCAGGCAACUCCACCCCAGGAGCUCAUCCACAUGAAAUAUUCCAUCUCCUCAGUGUGACUCAGCUGCUAAGAGUGAUGGCUCAGGUUAAGAGGAUUGGCUGCUCUUCCAGAGGACCUGAGUUCAAUUCCCGGCAACCACAUGCUAGUCCCUAACAUCUAUAAUGGGAUCUGGUGUCGUCUUCUGG